AGCAGUAGCCACGGGAAUACGGAGGGUGCAAGCGUUAAUCGGAAUUACUGGGCGUAAAGCGCACGCAGGCGGUCUGACAAGUCAGAUGUGAAAUCCCCGGGCUUAACCUGGGAACUGCAUUUGAAACUGGCAGGCUAGAGUCUUGUAGAGGGGGGUAGAAUUCCAGGUGUAGCGGUGAAAUGCGUAGAGAUCUGGAGGAAUACCGGUGGCGAAGGCGGCCCCCUGGACAAAGACUGACGCUCAGGUGCGAAAGCGUGGGGAGCAAACAGGAUUAGAUACCCGCGUAGUCCCUGUCUCUUAUAC
rnacentral:rRNA from 1 species